GUGAAAUGGGCCACAACAUGAUGGGAUUCUCGGAAAGCCAACUUUCAAGGGAUCAUCAAUGCCGAUCCUUAACUCUUCAGGGAAAGCAAACAUUCCAGAAUCCUCAGAUCCUAACAGAGAGGCCGACCUCUGGUUUCCCGGGUGGGCUUUUCACCAGCAAUGUCACCUGCUCUGAGCAUCUAGGUAUUCUUCCAUUCUCGCAACAAAAUGUUGGUGUUGGGAAACUGGAGGACAUUUUCCCAACAUUUUCUGGAGCUUAAUAAGGAAGACACAGUUCCUAAUCCCAUGGAAUUCCC